rfam:Gossypium raimondii Chr09_contig_27, whole genome shotgun sequence.
UGUUAAAGAUUUCAUCCAUUUGUACCGUUAAAAAUUGGUGUGGUUGAUGUGCACCUCAUUCUAACAUACACGGAUCAAUUAUUAACAGCAAAAAUAGAUAAAAAUUUUAACA